GUGGGGAAUCUUAGACAAUGGGCGCAAGCCUGAUCUAGCCAUGCCGCGUGAGCGAUGAAGGCCUUAGGGUUGUAAAGCUCUUUCGUGGGGGAAGAUAAUGACUGUACCCCAAGAAGAAGCCCCGGCUAACUCCGUGCCAGCAGCCGCGGUAAUACGGAGGGGGCUAGCGUUGUUCGGAAUUACUGGGCGUAAAGCGCACGUAGGCGGACUGGAAAGUCAGGGGUGAAAUACCGGGGCUCAACCCCGGAACUGCCUUUGAAACUCCCAGUCUUGAGUGCGAGAGAGGUGAGUGGAAUUCCGAGUGUAGAGGUGAAAUUCGUAGAUAUUCGGAGGAACACCAGUGGCGAAGGCGGCUCACUGGCUCGAUUCUGACGCUGAGGUGCGAAAGCGUGGGGAGCAAACAGGAUUAGAAACCCGUGUAGUCC
rnacentral:rRNA from 1 species